rnacentral:rRNA from 1 species
UACGUAGGGGGCAAGCGUUGUUCGGAAUUACUGGGCGUAAAGGGCGCGUAGGCGGCACAGCAAGUCGGGAGUGAAAGCCCGGGGCUCAACCCCGGAAUGGCUUUCGAAACUGCUGAGCUAGAGUACAGAAGGGGCAACCGGAAUUCCCAGUGUAGCGGUGAAAUGCGUAGAUAUUGGGAAGAACACCUGAGGCGAAGGCGGGUUGCUGGGCUGAUACUGACGCUGAGGCGCGAAAGCCAGGGGAGCAGACGGG